GCUCUCACUCUCACAAGGGCUUUCUCAAGAGUGCCAAGAUCUGAUCAUCAGGUGGUGUUUAUCCAUGCACGACUUGGACAGGUCCUCAUUAGAAGACCUGUUCUAUGAUCCUUGAAUGCAGGAUAUUCAUCUGCCAUAGAAGAAGGGAGAGAGCCACAUGCACACUUUGAUCCAGGGACCUGGUAAGGAAGAAGGAGCCCCUGGAGAAGCUGUACCAGGUGGGGCUGCUGAUGCUGGAGACAGUGAGGAUGACAUCAAGGAUAACGACCUCUUCUUUGACUUGGACACCAGAAAGUUGAAGAUAAUGGACUUCAUUACUGGCAGCUUCUUCAAAGCCAGGCUCCACAGUGAAUUUGCAGUUGAGUCCAGAGUCACAGGGAUGCUCCCAGAUUUGGGC